CAGCCUUUUUAAGGUCAAUUAGAAUUUUAUUAAUUACAGCAAGCAGUAGCAAGCAAAACAGCGCUGGGUGGGUAGGGGUCUCCUAACCGCCCCUCCUGCAGUGUCCCACACUGCAGUGCCCCACACCCCACUCCCUUAUUCAGUUUCUUUUUAUAGUUUCUUGGAGGUUUCUUCAUUCGUGUCUUUUGUGAUAGUGGUGUGCGUAGCUUGAGCAUCCCUCUGCAUCGUGUCUGCGUUGUGUCGAGGCAGGUGAUCGCUGAUUUCACAAUCGGCUCCGGACAGUGAUGGGCGUACCUGGAGCACUCCUACGUUGUCUAGUCCGGUGGUCGUUGCCUGGUGGUCGCUGAUUUCAUAAUCAGCUCCGGCCAUCCCCCGACAUCCUUAGCCUGUGUCUGCAAAAAAGCUACAAAAAGCUCCCUAUAUGGAAUUCCUGUUUGGGACUUAGGACCCCAGAGGAAGAACCAAACCAACCAGGAGAGGGAUGGAGGGAACUGGGAGCUCAGAUUGCAUCUGAGUUAUGAUAAAAUUCUGAUAGCUAAAUUCCUAAAUGAAGUGUUAA